CUAUGAAGAAGAUGUUUACAGCAAAGACCCCGAAAAUGGAGCCAUUGACGAAGACCAGGAAAAGAAAAUUAAAGGAAAGUAUAUUUAAUUUUAGUCUAAUUAUAAUUUUAGUUCUAUUACAGUAGCAGGCCUUACCAAGUUCCAGUCAGUCACAGAACAUGAAGAUUGUUUCAUUGAAGAUAGGAAAUGAGUAGCAUAUACUAUGAAGAAGAUGUUUACAGCAAAGACCCGAAAAUGGAGCCAUUGACGAAGACCAGGACAAGAUGCUUAAAGUAGCAGGCCUUACCAAGUUUCAGUCGCAGAAGAUGAAGAUUAUUUCAUUGAAAAUUGGAGAUAAAUAACAUCUCCAAGGAAGAUUAAUUAUUACAUUAAUCUUCACCCAAGUCUGAGGCCAUGACAUGAAAGAAAUAACGUUAUAUUAGUGCCAAUGUUUUCAUGAAUGGGGAGUAAGACUUGGUGGUAUAAUAUUUCUAAUAUACAAAUACUAUGAAGAAGAUGUUUACAGCAAAGACCCUGAAAAUAGAGCCAUUGGCGAAGACCAGGACAAGAUGCUUAAAGUAGCAGGCCUUACCAAGUUUCAGUAGCAGAAGAUGAAGAUUAUUUCAUUGAAAAUUGGAGAUAAAAAACAUCUCCAAGGAAGAUUAAUUAUUACAUUAAUCUUCACCCAAGUCUGAGGCCAUGACAUGAAAGAAAUAACGUUAUAUUAGUGCCAAUGUUUUCAUGAAUGGGGAGUAAGACUUGGUGGUAUAAUAUUUCUAAUAUACAAGUAGAUACUAUGAAGAAGAUGUUUACAGCAAAGACCCUGAAAAUAGAGCCAUUGGCGAAGACCAGGACAAGAUGCUUAAAGUAGCAGGCCUUACCAAGUUUCAGUAGCAGAAGAUGAAGAUUAUUUCAUUGAAAAUUGGAGAUAAAAAACAUCUCCAAGGAAGAUUAAUUAUUACAUUAAUCUUCACCCAAGUCUGAGGCCAUGACAUGAAAGAAAUAACGUUAUAUUAGUGCCAAUGUUUUCAUGAAUGGGGAGUAAGACUUGGUGGUAUAAUAUUUCUAAUAUACAAGCUAGCAAUAAUUACUGCUUUUCAGUAUGGGUUGAGGUUUAGAAUGAUCAUUGGAGCUGACUUUUAAGGUUAGCAUUACAGCUUGUCCUUACAGAUUGAUGUUGGAAAUGGCCAUUGGAGUUGAAUUUUAAAGAUAACUAUUACUGUGGCUGAAGGAUAUAAUUGUUUGAUUAAUUCUCCGUAUCCCUCGGAGUUAUUGCAAAGGUUAUUAACAUGUAUACAGCUUGGCACUCUACACAAGGCAUUGGAUUUAACGUCCCCAUUCUGACCGGACAUGGCUGCGAAUUCAUACAUCCUGCACUUCCAAACAGAAGCCCCACUGCCAGUCUGAAGAAGAGUUUCAAAUUUAUAUAUUUGAAUAUGAUAAUGUAUUUUGUUUUGUUAAGUAUAUUAUAAAAUUUUGAACUGACACCAGUUUUUUUAAGCUUAUAGAAAAGUCCUAGGUGCCAUACAGAGUCAAAUGCACGUUUAAUGUCUACAAAACAUGCAUAUAAUGGUUGGGAUUUAUUUCUGAUGUAUUUUUGUAUAAGAGUAUUUAUUACAAACAUAUGAUCAGAUGUACUACAUCCUCUUUAUCCAAUUUGCUCUUUACAAAUGAGUUUUUUCUUCUCAAAAAAGGCUGUCAGUCUAUUAUUUAAUAUUCUGUUAAAAAGUUGACCAAUAGUGUCACUUAUUGUUAUACCUCUAUAGUUUGAAGGAUCAUAUAUUGACCCCUUUUUAUGUCUAGUUGAAAUAUUCUCUUUGGCCAUAUUUUAGGAUAGAUUCCUGCAGAAAAAAAUCUAUUAAAAGCUUUUAAAAAUAGUGGGUUAAAAAUUGAUUGGCAGUACUUAAUUAUUUCAUUUAGUAUCAUAUUUAAUCCACAGGAUUUGCCAUUCUUUAAAGAUUUAAUAGCUUUUAGUAGUUCAGACUCUGUAAUCUUGAAAGUCUUAAUUCAUUAAAAAUAUUAGUUUUUUCUAAAUUAUUAAGCUCCUGCAGAAUUGUAUCAUUUUCAGCAAUUGUAGUUUUAUUUAGGGAUUUAAAAUGAUUCUCCCAAUCUUCCAAACUGAUAUUUGUUUCCUUUUUAUCAUUGUUAUCUCCUUUUAAUUUUUCAACUAAUUUCCAAUAGGAUUUUCAUUUUUAAGAUUAUCUAGCUUAUUAAAGAAAUAACUCUUUAAACUUACAUUUAUCUUUUCUCGUUUUUCUGUAAUGUUUUAGGCAUUUAAAAUAUGACCCUCUAAUGUAUUGGUCAUUGCUAUACUUUUGCAAUCGAUUGCAUUUAUGAUCUAGUUCUUGUUUUAUUUUCUUAAGACUGUAAUCAUACCAUAACUUUUGCUUUCUGUUAUUAACUUUCUUUUAAUAUUUUUUCAUAGUUUUCUUCUUUUUUAAGGCUAAGUCGCCUGCAGUUAUAAUGAUUUUAUUUAGGUUAUCUAUCAUAUAUUUUUAUGCUUAUGAGUUAUAUUCAUGUAUGUUGUUUUUAAUAAUAAAAAAUUCCCAAGGCAUAUAAGUAUAACAGGAAUUGAUUGUCUUCUUGCACGCAUGUAAUACAUGUAGGCGUAGGAAUUUUAGCACCAAAAAUUAGGUUAUAAAGUGAACUGAAAUUUGUACUGUGAACAUUGUAUUUUUUUUAAGGAUCUUUAAGAGAACAAAGAUUUGCAUAAUUUUGUAUUUUUUAAAUUAAUUUUCAUGAAGGUGGAAUGGCUAUACAAACGUAAUCGUAUUUCGACUUUUGUACCAAAUUUUUUAUAGCCGUAGUCCUAAUGACAAGAUUUCUUUUUACUUACAUAUAUUCAAACAAAAUUAUGUUUUCUUUUACUCAUUUCCUGGAGUGAGGUCCUACACUUAGAGUUUCGCUGGCAUUGACAAAAGGACACAGGUUUCCUAAAAUGGGUUUUUCCUGGUUGGCCACGGAACAUUGAAAUGUAGUUAUUCAGUUUUUUUACUGCAAAAGGUUGACAUGAGAUUAUUCAGUUUUUCAAAUGCAAAAGGUUGACAUGAGAUUAUUUUUCUAGUAUAAGUUAUUGAAUUCAUAUUGUAUAAUGUAUAGUGUGUAAUUUGUCUUAUUAAAUCGACAGCUCACAAUAUGCAGUACUCGAGCUAGUCAAAAAACAUAA